rnacentral:rRNA from 1 species
CAGCAGUAGCCACGGUAAUACGUAGGUCCCGAGCGUUGUCCGGAUUUAUUGGGCGUAAAGCGAGCGCAGGCGGUUUGAUAAGUCUGAAGUUAAAGGCUGUGGCUUAACCAUAGUACGCUUUGGAAACUGUUUAACUUGAGUGCAAGAGGGGAGAGUGGAAUUCCAUGUGUAGCGGUGAAAUGCGUAGAUAUAUGGAGGAACACCGGUGGCGAAAGCGGCUCUCUGGCUUGUAACUGACGCUGAGGCUCGAAAGCGUGGGGAGCAAACAGGAUUAGAUACCCCAGUAGUCCCUGUCUCUUAUACA